GUCUACAGCCAUACCACCGGGCAUGUGCCUGAUCUCAUCCGAUCUCCAAAGCUAAGCAGGGUCGGGCCUGGUUAGUACUUGGAUAGGAGAAAGUACUUUGGAGAAGGAGGAAACUUCCUGGGGCAAUGGAAA
rnacentral:rRNA from 1 species